rnacentral:rRNA from 1 species
UGGGGAAUUUUGGACAAUGGGCGAAAGCCUGAUCCAGCAAUGCCGCGUGUGUGAAGAAGGCCUUCGGGUUGUAAAGCACUUUUGUCCGGAAAGAAAUCCUUGGCUCUAAUACAGUCGGGGGAUGACGGUACCGGAAGAAUAAGCACCGGCUAACUACGUGCCAGCAGCCGCGGUAAUACGUAGGGUGCAAGCGUUAAUCGGAACUACUGGGCGUAAAGCGUGCGCAGGCGGUUUGCUAAGACCGAUGUGAAAUCCCCGGGCUCAACCUGGGAACUGCAUUGGUGACUGGCAGGCUAGAGUAUGGCAGAGGGGGGUAGAAUUCCACGUGUAGCAGUGAAAUGCGUAGAGAUGUGGAGGAAUACCGAUGGCGAAGGCAGCCCCCUGGGCCAAUACUGACGCUCAUGCACGAAAGCGUGGGGAGCAAACAGGAUUAGAUACCCUGGUAGUCCACGCCCUAAAACGAUGUCAACUAGUUGUUGGGGAUUCAUUUCCUUAGUAACGUAGCUAACGCGUGAAGUUGACCGCCUGGGGAGUACGGUCGCAAGAUUAAAACUCAAAUGAAUUGACGGGGUCAUA